rnacentral:rRNA from 1 species
AUUGAACGCUGGCGGCAGGCUUAACACAUGCAAGUCGAGCGGGGGAGGUUGCCUCGGUAACUGACCUAGCGGCGGACGGGUGAGUAAUGCUUAGGAAUCUGCCUAUUAGUGGGGGACAACAUUCCGAAAGGGAUGCUAAUACCGCAUACGCCCUACGGGGGAAAGCAGGGGAUCUUCGGACCUUGCGCUAAUGGAUGAGCCUAAGUCGGAUUAGCUAGUUGGUGGGGUAAAGGCCUACCAAGGCGACGAUCUGUAGCGGGUCUGAGAGGAUGAUCCGCCACACGGGGACUGAGACACGGCCCAGACUCCUACGGGAGGCAGCAGUGGGGAAUAUUGGACAAUGGGCGGAAGCCUGAUCCAGCCAUGCCGCGUGUGUGAAGAAGGCCUUUUGGUUGUAAAGCACCUUAAGCGAGGAGGAGGCUACUAGUACUAAUACUACUGGAUAGUGGACGUUACUCGCAGAAUAAGCACCGGCUAGCUCUGUGCCAGCCGCCGCAGUAAGAC